GUUCUCGUAAUCGCUAGAUAUCGCAGUUUGCACACCUAUGACGUCAUGGUCUGUUUCCGGACACGUGACUUCAUCGUCGAAUAUCCACCUUCCUGAACGUUGGUAGCCAAUCAAAAUAUUUUUUACUGUUAGACACACCUUUGAGGCGUGUCUACACAUACGGGGGAAUUUUUAACGGCGCAUGCGGCUUGGUCAUAAUUUUCUCUCGACCGGAUGUCGCAGCGCUCUUGUCAAGUUGGGGCUUCGCUGCCUGUUGGCGAUUUGGCUUCCUAUUUUCAGCUGCAAACAACUGAUGACGAGGUUGACGAUGGCGAUGAUGUGUCGAUGGCUUCGAUAUCGUCGUCCGACGAUGACGCGACGGACAACGAAGAAGCGCUACCCGUCGAGGAAGACAGCGAUGACGCUACGCUGUUAGUAUAACGUUUUGAUGUCUAAUUAACUCGUUUUUUUGCGAUACGUUGUUCAGUAACGUUUCUAGUACCUGUUUUGCAAGUUUGGGCGUUCGCCGUUGGGAAGAAUUUGAGUUAUGCGCAUAGCAACGCAUGAGUGUUCGGUUGCUAUGGCUGUGUACCCGUAUGUUGUGGUAGACAUCGUUUUUACGUUUCAGUAAGUGUUUUCCAAGUUUGGAUGUUAGGAGUUGGCAAGAAUUUGAGUUAUGCCCAUAGCAACGCACAUAGCAACGGAUCUGAAGGCAGGCAUAACUCAAAGACCAGGUAUCGCUGCCAAGAAUGCAACGUUCCCCUCUGUGUGUCAUCUGCUGAGCGACAGUGCUUUAUAAAAUAUCACACUGAGGAUGACUGAAAAUUGCUAAACUGUGACUGUGUAUAUUGUAUAUUUCUAUUUAUAGUGUUGUAUAUUUCUAUUAUAUAUUGUUGUAUAUUUCUAUAUAUAUUGUUGUAUAUUUCUAUUUAUAUAUUGUUGUAUAUUUUUAUUUAUAUAUUGUUAUAUAUUUCAUUUAUACAGUAUUGUAUUAGGUGAUCUA